ACGGCAGUUGGUCUCUGAGGCGGCGGCGGUAACAGUUUCUCUCGGGAGGUCCUGCUCGGUCCGGGCGCCAUGCCUCUGGAUCGUCAGGUGGCCAUGGGGAACCUUGGCAAUCAGGACAUCCUGGCCAUCUUCUACCGCCUGCGCUUCGUGCUUAGCAACCACAUAGAGGCCGCCUGGCGAGCCCGGAACCCGGCAAUGGACGUGGGAGGAGGAGGAGAAGGCGCCCGGUUGGUCAACGGUCGUAUUCGCCCACGCGGGUUCUGAGUGACUUGGAGGACUGCUCGCCCUCGCCCCAGAAUGCCUGGCAUAGGAUAUGACUGUCAAUAUUUAGCUCUACAAGAAGACAUGACAUUUACACACAAAAGGAAGACAUGAUUCAUUGGUUUUAAGUAAACACAACAUAAUGCAUCCUAAAAGUGCCUGGACUCUAGGGCUACCUGAUGGAGGACCCACCAUGACCCAUUAAUUCCCUAGUAAUUAACACAUGGAAUGGGGUACCAGUGAUGAAAAAUGACCACAAUUAACUCCCUUUCAAGACUCCUUCCCAGAUAUCUGAUCAGGACCAAGACUGGGAUCUCUGGGUCCGUAACAGUGAAACAUCCUCUCAUUCUCUUGGUUCUGCUUCUGUUGAGAGGCCCUGCUUAAAUCACUUUCUUCAGCUCGUUGAAAGCAGCAGGACAAAAAAGCACUGCUACUACCACAAAGGAAGCUGGGCCACUUACCUUUGAAGAUGGCUUGCACACCUCAUCUUUAAGUCUUUCCCUAAGAAUGGAUGGUUUCAAAUGUGGGAGCAAGAGUUUUCAGAGCCUACGUUCUCCAUGUUCAGGUCCAGUCCCUGUGCUUCUCCAUGGCACAUCAUUCUCCCUGUGUCUACUCUGCCUCUCACUGGAUAGAUGUAGGUGAGAGAUGUGCACCCCAGUACUCGCUGUUUUGGAUCCCAAACAUACAUCUACAUUGAUGGCAUAGCUAUGAGUGUAGCUGCCUUCCUCAUUCACCACAUGCCUGUGUUCAUUUUGUCAGUGGUGAGCGCUGUGCUGUGCAACCUUCUAACCUAGAUCUGGCCCCAGCAUCCUGAAGCAUAUGAGGCACCUCAGAGAAAAGGUCUAAAUGGGCCUUAUAAGAAAAUGAGAAUACUUUCUGUUGCAUUGGGUUUUGAGUCUUAAGUUACAGGCACAAAGCUGCAUGAAUUAAACAUUCCUAAAGUCUGUCUACUCAGCCUCUUACACUAGUCUGUCCACAGGAAAGGCAUUGAAAUAAAAGGAAAGAUGAAGAGCAAUACAGUCCA
rnacentral:lncRNA from 1 species